UGCUGUUUUGCUUUCAAUAUACAUGUUGUGAACCUGUUAACAAUGAUAACAGUUUGGGUCUUAAUUUGUUAAGCUUAUGCAGGUUUAAGCAGUAGCAGUUUUUGUGAGAAGCAUACUAAGAGGACUGUAGAUUUGUGAGGAACUAAAGCAGGACUGGAACUAAAGAGCAAAGCAGAGGCAAUUCAUUAGGUGACAGUUUCUUUGUACAUUGUGACAGGUAAUGACAGGAGAUUUCGUACAGUUUUAAGCAGAUUGAGCAACUUAAAAUCUGUUUGUUGAGUUGUUUGGUGACAGUUUCUUCACAGAAGGAGGUACAUCAAAGUACAUCAAAGUUUCAUCAUACACAGCUCAGGUGGGACAAAGUGYACUUGUACAGAAGACUCCGAUAGUCUAAACUGCAGUUAGAGGGAAGCUAAAAGUUGAAGAUAAGCAUACUCUGAAGAGAGUUCAUAUCAGUAAAGAUACAUUGUAGCUAUAUUUUAGACUGGUGCUGAUAAUUGUACAUUGUAUUGUA